UGUAAUUUUGAACUGUUCCUUAUUAAGAUGGUGUCUGUUGAUUACAUGUACAUGUAGGUAAAAAUAAACACAUGUAAAAUAUACACUGUACCUUUAUGGAGCGUAUUGACUACAUAUGUAUACGCUAUAAUAAAUGCCUAUAUGUGUUUGCGGCGCACAUACACUUGUGUACAAGUUUUCUUACUUAUUUAAAUUUAAUAAUGAUAUUUAUAGUUAUAUGCAAUUAUUUUCUUACUGGAUUUUUGUAGCUGGUUGGCCUCUUAACCUAAUAAUAAUCAUUACGGAGAGUAAAGGUAUCCCUAUCCUUUAUAAUUUUCAACUUUGAAAUUAAACUUCAAUAAAUUGACUUUGAAAUAAAAGAGACGACCUGUAUAAGGAAACAACAACAAAGUCAUAAAAUAAAUUGUUGGAGCACUAAUAUACAUUAAUAUACAGUAGUACAUUGUUUUAGGUGAUAAUUGAAAUACUACUUUACUUUAUUUAUUGCUAUACGUUAAAAUUAAAGAAGUUUUAAAAAACUUGCGGAAAAUUAAAGUAAAUAAGGCCUCGUGUGUUUUUAGAGGUUAUGUUUAUACAGGUCAAUAACAACUAUUAUUUAUAUAUCUUGAAUUAUUUACAACAACAAUAAAGGAAGUAUUACAAAAUGCGAGUAAAAAUUUAUCAAUGCUGCCCUAGAGGAAAAUAUCACUUUAUGGCAGAAAAUUAAAUGGAGCAAGAAAAUUGAAAUUGCACUUCCGAUCUAGCUGGGGAUCAUUUUUAGUAUCGUUGGGACAAAAGAGGAUUGCUGAAUAUAAAUGUCGAGUUAAAUAAGUGGCAGCAGCGCACUUUGAAGUUGGAAGACAAUCUGAAGUCGGUGUAGCUUUAACAAGGCAACUAGAAAGAUGUUUCAAGGACUCUAGGUGCCUUGAUAAGGAAUAUUUAUUCAUUGUCGCCGAUAAAAAAGUAUGGAAUGUCAGAGUCGACAUGAAUGUAAUCAAUCACGAUGGUAGUUUGGUUGAUUGCGCUAGCAUAGUAACUUUGGUUGCCUUAUCACAUUUUUAGCGUUCUGAUGUUAAUUCAAUUGGAGAUGAUAUUAUUAUACACUCAUUUGCUGAGAAAGAUCCAUUGCCUUUGACAUUGUUUCAUCAACCUGUAGGUGUUUCGUUGUAAACUUUUGAGAAGUAAUCUCCUAUUUAUAAUUCCUAGAAAUAUUUAUUUCAUUAAUAAUAAUAAUAAUACUAUUAUUAUUAAUAGUGAUGAGUGAUGGUGAUUAUCCCUGAU